rnacentral:sRNA from 1 species
CAAGGUCUCCGUUGGUGAACCAGAGGAGGGAUCAUUACCGAGUUUACAACUCCCAAACCCAAUGUGAACGUUACCAAACUGUUGCCUCGGCGGGAUCUCUGCCCCGGGUGCGUCGCAGCCCCGGACCAAGGCGCCCGCCGGAGGACCAACCAAAACUCUUUUUGUAUACCCCCUCGCGGGUUUUUUUAUAAUCUGAGCCUUCUCGGCGCCUCUCGUAGGCGUUUCGAAAAUGAAUCAAAACUUUCAACAACGGAUCUCUUGGUUCUGGCAUCGAUGAAGAACGCAGCGAAAUGCGAUAAGUAAUGUGAAUUGCAGAAUUCAGUGAAUCAUCGAAUCUUUGAACGCACAUUGCGCCCGCCAGUAUUCUGGCGGGCAUGCCUGUCCGAGCGUCAUUUCAACCCUCGAACCCCUCCGGGGGGUCGGCGUUGGGGAUCGGCCCUGCCUCUUGGCGGUGGCCGUCUCCGAAAUACAGUGGCGGUCUCGCCGCAGCCUCUCCUGCGCAGUAGUUUGCACACUCGCAUCGGGAGCGCGGCGCGUCCACAGCCGUUAAACACCCAACUUCUGAAAUGUUGACCUCGGAUCAGGUAGGAAUACCCGCUGAACUUAAGCAU